CUUUGAAAUAGCAUUGUAUACUUAAAACUUGAUAACCUUUUCCAAAUUUCCUCUUCAAAGAGGCAGUACCAGGUAACAUUCCUCUCUGACUCUUUUAUCAGUGCCACGUUUACUCCACUGGACCUCCCCACCCAAACUUUGAAUCUGAAAAGUGAGAAAUGAUGUCCACUGUUUUUUAAUUCAUGUUUCUUUUAUUAUAUGUGAGAUCGAAGAUGCUUUUAUGUAUUUAAGUACUAUCAGUAUCUAUUUUCUGUGAGCUGGUUGUUUACAUCCAUUGCUUAAUUUUCAAGUUGGCUUUUGGCUCCAUUCUUGAUUUUUCGGAUGAAGAAUGUAGACCCUUUUCUGACACAUGCCUUGGUUUUUCUGAGAGUGCGCUGACGGCACUGCAGUGAUCCACUCUCAUAGUCUUAGUAACCUCUCAUAACCGACGCGUGGGAACAUGAAGCCCAGGCUACCCGGGUGCUCUUGCGAUCUUAAGCUGCAUACACUGGAGCCUUUAAAUGCUCUGUUGUUCUUUAUACUCCAUAACUUAUUAAAUCCUGAGGGAUUAGAUAUUUCCAGCUUUGCUUUUCUCUCUUUUUAAUUAUCAGGUACAUUUUAGCAAGCUCAUGCACUUUCAGAGUGGAACUCUGGUUAAAUGCAGAGAGCUCCUAACGGAAUUUAAACCGUGUAGAUAGUAGGAUCGUGCCGUGCCCACAUGACCCUAUCUGAACAUGCCAGGUGUAUCACUUUGAUCUUUUGUGCUCUCUACUGAAAGAAAUUUGAUACCCAUGAAUCAAAACCCUUGGGAAAACAUCAUCUGUGAUGCAGCAAUAGCAAAAUACUGUCCCUAGAGUGGUGUCUCCUAGACAGAUUUCCCAUUUCUGCUUCCACCUGCUGAAAGAGUGAAUCAACAAACUCAUAGAGAAUGAAGACAAAUCUUGGCUGAAGGUCUAGUGAACUGUGCAGGAUCAUGAACCUCCUCAUGGCUCAUGUUUGGUGAGUGGGAGGGGGAAUUGAAUACUCUUAAAGAUGGUUUGGAAACUUCU
rnacentral:lncRNA from 1 species